AAAUCAUGGGGUAAUUUUCAUUUUUGGGUGAAUUAUCCGUUUUUCGUGCUGCCUAGAGGACCAACGGCCACAUACCCGAAAUUGCAGUGAUUGACAUAAUGAUAAAGAUAACAAUGGACGGGAGAAAAAUAUAAUUUGUCAGUAUAGAUGUCCAAAUACCCACACUUGCGGUCUUGGUCACUUGAGAGCACGUGACAGGAAGUGCGUGCACAAGACUGUCGCAGGUCUUAAAAACGGCAAAGCGCAGUGCCCUUAACACACACUAAAUCCGGUAUUCGAGGCUUAGUGUAUCCCAUCAUGCAUCAUGUUCUGGAAAUAAAUCAUGAGACUUUUUGCCAAGACCUCGCGAGACAUCACAGAAACUUUUUCAGUGCAUGUUAAAUAUCAAUAAUAAUUAGAUAUUACAUAUAAUUUGGUAGUAAAACAAAGAGUAGCACAUUUUAUUGCUGCAAUUGAAUAGUGGUGAUCAUUAUUUUGUACAAUAUCCUUGUUAUCAUUUAAUUAGAAGCACCACAGAAUUAAAUUGUAUUAUCUGUUAUAGGGACUACUGAACAGACAUUUAAAAGUUUAUUUUAAAAUGAAAGGAAUUGAAAAUAAAAAUUAAGCUCUGUUAACACUUGGAUUUUUACAACAUUGUAAGUGUGUCCCAUCAGGUAAUGUAAAGUUCUACACACACGUGGUCUUCAUGCUCAUGACGUGGCAGUUUUCAAUUUCAAUAAAGGUUUUUCAGCAAACUCAGUGAUCCUCUGAGAAAACUAAUCCUGUCCGAAUGCGAAUGCGAAAACACUCCCAACUCAACUUUUGUACUUUCAUCAAAUGUGGAUGCUUUGAUCUCAUCCAAUCAUAAUGCAUAUUCAACAUAUGUGACCCUGGAGCACAAAACCAGUCAUAAGGGUCAAUUUUUCAAAAUUGAGAUUAAUAGAUCUUCUGAAAGUUGAAUAAAUCAUCUCUCCAUUGAUGUGUGGUUUGUUAGGAGGACAAUAUUUGUCUGAGAUACAACUAUUUGAAAAUCUGGAAUCUGAGGGAGCAAAAAAAUCUAAAUAUUGAGAAAAUCAUCUUUAAAGUUGUUCAAAUGAAGUUCUUAGCCAUGCAUAUUACUAAUCAAACAUUAAGUUUUAAUAUAUUUACGGUAGGAGAUUAACAAAAUAUCUUCAUGGAACAU
ensembl:lncRNA